GACGAACGCUGGCGGCGUGCCUAAUACAUGCAAGUCGAACGCACGAAGUUGAAGAGCUUGCUCUUUAACCAAUUGAGUGGCGGACGGGUGAGUAACACGUGGGUAACCUGCCCAUUAGAGGGGGAUAACAUUCGGAAACGGAUGCUAAUACCGCAUAGUUUCAGGAAUCGCAUGAUUCUUGAAGGAAAGGUGGCUUCGGCUACCACUAAUGGAUGGACCCGCGGCGUAUUAGCUAGUUGGUGAGGUAAUGGCUCACCAAGGCAAUGAUACGUAGCCGACCUGAGAGGGUGAUCGGCCACACUGGGACUGAGACACGGCCCAGACUCCUACGGGAGGCAGCAGUAGGGAAUCUUCCGCAAUGGACGAAAGUCUGACGGAGCAACGCCGCGUGAGUGAAGAAGGUUUUCGGAUCGUAAAACUCUGUUGUUAAAGAAGAACAAGGAUGAGAGUAACUGCUCAUCCCCUGACGGUAUUUAACCAGAAAGCCACGGCUAACUACGUGCCAGCAGCCGCGGUAAUACGUAGGUGGCAAGCGUUGUCCGGAUUUAUUGGGCGUAAAGCGAGCGCAGGCGGUUCUUUAAGUCUGAUGUGAAAGCCCCCGGCUCAACCGGGGAGGGUCAUUGGAAACUGGAGAACUUGAGUGCAGAAGAGGAGAGUGGAAUUCCACGUGUAGCGGUGAAAUGCGUAGAUAUGUGGAGGAACACCAGUGGCGAAGGCGACUCUCUGGUCUGUAACUGACGCUGAGGCUCGAAAGCGUGGGGAGCAAACAGG
rnacentral:rRNA from 1 species